AACUUUUCAGUUCAAGAUUUUUUUGCCUCGACUGAACAAAACGAGAAGCUGGGCGAAACGGCCGCCAACCCUGGCCGGUUCACCCAGCCAAAUUGACGUGGCAAUAAAAAGGGAGGGUCUUCCAAAAACAAGCACCAGGAGGGUGAGAAGCAGGAGGAGGGUCAUGACAGACUUUCAAAGAACAAGGUUGUCGUGAAAAAGAAAAAUGUUUCUAAAUACGAGACAGGAGGAGGAGGAGGAGAAAGUGGAUGAUGAGGCGCGUCAUGACACAAAGAACAAGGUACACUACCAGUCUGCAUUCAGUGUGUGUUAUUAACUAAGCUAUAGAGAUUUUUAUGUUUGGAUAGUUAGUGGUAAUAUGUAAUUUACUUGCCCCACAUGCAUAAAAUUGUUGAAAAGAUGUUUUUCUUCUCUAACAAGACUGCGGCAACAACUAAAAACUCAGCGAAACCACAGGUGGGAAGCCAACCAGAGGGGACGGGGAGCAGCUGGUUGCCCUGGAUAAAAUUAAAAAGGCAGCCAUUAUUGGUGAGUAAAUGCAUAAAGUGUUGAGAAGGGAAAACAAAACUUUUAAGACUUUAUAAGUUCACCACUUUAACCAUAGCCUACUUGUAUCAAUGUAUAUUAGGCAUCAAUGGAGACUGGAUAAGGGUAGGGCACCCAUUAUUGUUACUGUAUCUGCUUAGCACCUAUAAUACUAAUUCAUUGCUUGCUCACUUUUUGAUCCCACCUUUCCUUUUCUAAAGCCACAUUUCUGGGGUAUUGCCCUCAAUGUGCUGUAAGGUGUGUAGUCCUCUAUUUUGUAGAACAUAUAUUGUUGCAAAUAACCUCAUGGCAUAUUGUUGUUGUCUGAAGUGUUCAUAAAUAAUAUUCACCCCUCCUUCACCCUUAAUCCCCUCUGUCCUGCCUUAUUUUGUCUAUGCCGGUAAUUGAUUUGCUUGAUUUUAAUGCAUACCUUCUUCGAGUGUGUGUGUGUGUGUGUGUGUGUGUGUGUGUGUGUGUGUGUGUGUGUGUGUGUGUGUGUGUGUGUGUGUGUGUGUGUGUGUGAAACAAAAGGUCUUGUUUGCUCAAAGCCCAGCCCAGAGAACACGGAAUGUGUUUAAAAAGUCAGGAUUUGUUAAUUCAGAACAGAUGGCUGAAUGCCAUUCGCUCAUUAUUGUUACAAUAUUAUUAUAUUGUCUAAUUAUUUUUGUCUUCUCUAGAUGCUACAUUGAAGAAAUGGCCGGCAGCCAGCCGAGGGCAGAUAGGAACAGCUAUAAAUUCCAAGCUCGCAGAGAUGCGAAGAUCCAUGAAAUGUUUUUUUUUUUUUUUUUUGUCAUUUUUGUACAUUUUGAUAGUCCUUAAAUAAAUAAUGUAAAUUUCCACAUUUUGGGCUUUUAUUUUUGUUUCCUAGUUUGGAUUUUAAUAAUUUUACUUAUAGGUGGACAUAUGUGCAUAUAUGUACCUAUAUAGGUACAUUUAUGCAUGUAUAUAUAUGUGUACAUGUAUGCGUGCAUAUAUGUGGGCUUAUAUGUGGCGCAUGUAUGCGUGCAUAUAUGUGGGCAUAUAUGUGGCACAUGUAUGCGUGCAUAUAUGUGGGCAUUUAUGUGGGCAUAUAUGU